GGGGUCCGGGAGGCGGCUGCGGCCCAGGCAGGGAGCUUUUUUUUUUUCUUGCCGCUAGGGAGGUGCGAGGUCCAGCUCCUGUACUUCCUUUACCCGCCCGGGAGCUCGUGUUUGAACCUCAAAAUGGUGCGGUAGAAGGCUGCCGCUAGGUUGAGCUGCACAACUGGGUCGUUUUGUGGAACGGCUCAAUGGUGGGAGGCAAGCGACCUGGCUUCUGGUGAUGCUUCUCUUCUACCACGAUGUGUUUUGUGUUUUUGUUUUCAUUUUUAAAAUUUUAAAAGUGUUUGUUUAUUUAUUUAUUAUUUUUUUUUUUAAUGUGGCCCAAGUUUGCUUGGCCCCAGUUCUCUCAAUCUUGAUUUCCCCAUGUCUAAAAUAAGGGGCCUGGCUACCGUCUCUGUCAUUACAUCCUUCAAGUGUCUACCAACUCUAGUGCUAACACAGGGCUCAUCUUGAAUGCAGACACGCAACUACUAGCGAACCAUUAUACAGAGGCAGUGUGCACCCCCAAAGCAAUGAGAGUGACCCGCCAACCUCCUUCCUUGGGAAGUAAAGUCAGCAUCUCAAUGUCAAGCUGCUGGAGCUUUGAACUGACUGCAGUAUAGGUCUUUAGAGACCAUUCUUGGAAAUAAAUGGAAUUGACAAACACCAAACUGUGGUAUAAUUGCCCGUCCCCUCCUACCAAGGUGCUGUUACUGAAUCAGCUUGUGCCUGAUACCUUUAAGAGACCCUUCUGGAUUUCCUGGCCAGGGUAAUGCGCCAGGAGUCACACAUUGGUUUCCUGAGUCAGCAGCUGGGAUGGAUCCAUCAGCAACGGAAAAGAGGAGGUUAAAUAGUCCACACAGGAGGCUGAGUAUACAGUACCAGAGCCUUUGGAAGAAACUAGGAGAAGGUGGAACCACAGAUGCUAAGAAAAUAAUAUCAAGAAACUUGGGAGUGACCAACGGUAUCCAGUGCCACAAGAAAAUAAAGAUGAGAGAAAAUUAUCUUUUGAGGUGGAGAAGGCUUACAUUUUAAUUGAAGCCCGGUGUUGUUACCCAAUGCUCAGUAAGCCUGUGUCUGAGACACCGGUUUUGAAACAAAAGAAGCAGCCCUCGGUGCCUUGGUGGCUCAGUCAGUUAAGUGUCUGCCUUCUUCUGAGGUCAUG